AUCAAGGACAAAAAGAAACACCAGCCAACAGUAUUAAACCAGGAUUGAUCUAGCUCCGGAAAAAGGAAAGUCCAUUAAUAGAAAACGUCCUAUACAAGGUGCACUCAAAGACAAAAAAAAAUGUCAAAGCAAGUAGGCAUGUAUUGUUCAGAAAUGGAACAGUAUUUUGGUCUGAAGACAAUAGCAUCCUCACCGUGCGACGGAAACCAUGCGUCGAGCGUCCUUAUCACGCCAACGUCCAGCCCUACAAAGGAGCUUGAGAAAACGUUCGAUGAUGAACGGAUCCUAGGAGGGCACAGUAGCAACAGCGAUGAGGAUGACAGUGGUAACGAGGACGAAUUUGAUGACACACUUGAAGAUAUCAUUUUCCCAAUUGACCCUGAUAAUGAGUUGGAUCUUGAUGAAAUUGAAAACAAUUAAAUUAAAGAAAUUCAGAAAGGAUCUUUCAUUUUGUAGUCUUAAGUUUAGCAAGAAUGUAGUUUAAAAGUUGCCCAUGUCUAGUAAUUAUUACCCAUAAUCCUCUCAAUAAUUACCUAUUGUGAUGGACAUUUAUGCUUUAUGGAGGUUUUGGCAAAAUGUCAUUUCUUGUUUUUCUUAAUAUCUUAUUUUUAAUAUUAUGAAUUGAUAAUGAUGGUUUUAUAGUGUGUUUAUUGUAAAGUAUCAGAAAUAUGUAAAAAAAAUACAUUGUCUAGAAAGUAAUAAUUAAAAAAUUUGAGAUUUAGGAAGAAUACCUAUUUUAUUGAAAUACAAGUCCUUCAACUCCUGUAUUGUUUUCCUCUUGUAUGAUCCUCCCACACCCCUUGUGUUCCCUUAGCCGUCGUAUAUUCCUAACUUUCAUCUUGAAAUAUGCUAUACUGGAGAUUUCCUCAGACUCUUUGAUAUUAUAAAAAUCUAGUGAUUUCAGAUGAAAAAAAUUAUAUUUAGAAAACUGUUUAUUACAGUUUUGUAUCAUAAAAUGUUGAAUAUCAUAAUUAAUGAAAUUGGAUUUUGAUUAAUUGGUAUCUAUACUUUUAACAAUGAAUUUAGUCUAAUAAUGAAUUAAAUAUUUUAGAUAGAUUUUACGUGAUUUUGAUGAUCCAAGAUGAAUUUUCCACGCAGAAAUUGAUUUUUUUAUAUCUGGUCAUGUGAUUAAUAAUAUAAAUGGCCAAAAAUAGGAAUCAGUUGUCUUGGAAACAAAACAAGAUAUUUAUGGGAUUUGCGGUUUUAAGUGACACGUUAGCAUUGGCUAUAUACCUGAUUACGCAUGAUGUACCAUCUUAAUAUUUCAUCAGUUGAAUUUAAAUUACUAUUCAACCUGCGCAUCAUAUUACUUCAAGAGCUUUAACAAGCAAAUUUUCUUGAAAAGAAAUUUUCUGUUGAUAUUGCAAACAGUUGUAUGGCUCGUAACAGUAUCCUUUAAAAUACACAAAGUGAACAAAUACAUCAGAAUGAGCAUAACCAAAUCCAUUAAAUUCACUAUGUAUAAGGUUGUUUUAAUUGCUUCGGUACAAUUAUUUGAUUGCAAAUUCAUAAGGCCUAACAAUUCAGUAUUUUAUUCUAACAGUACAAAUUUUCAUUUGAGAAAGGCCCCCUCUAUAUUAUUUUCUUUUCUUAUCAUUUCUGAUUUUUUUUUUUUUUUUUUUUCUGGGCAAAUUUUCAGAGGGAAAGAAAACUUCUACUGAAUUCAAAUUCUGUUUUUAAACUUUUAUUAGAAUUUAAUUAUGUUUAUUAAUCAUUAUUAUUAAAAUUAUUAUUCAUAAUUUUUUAUCAAAAUCCUCAAAGAAAACAUUCUUGUUUAAAAAGCAUUCUUUCAUUUAGAAUUGAUCUUAUUUUUUCAUUUUUAUAAUUUUAUGUUUCAUAUCUGAAUGCCUUCUACUUUACAAUUGCUAAUUUAUAUUCUUGUUGAUCUCAACUCAAAAAAAAAAUGUUAUGCAAAUUGUGUGAUUAUGGGAUAUUUUUAAAAUUUGCACUUUAUCAAUUUUGAAAAUUGCUAUAGUUUUAUCGCUAUAUUCAUCCUAAGAUGUUACUUUUUUACUAGUUUCUUUUUUGUUAUUUUCACUUUAAUUUUAUAGUUUUAUGAGUACUUGACUGUAUUCAUUAUGAUUUUUUCGAGGUUAAACCGCAUUUGUUUUCCCUAUAUAUUAUUAGUGUGUGUUACCCGUGUGCAGUGCAAUGCAAAAACCACUUUACAAUACAUAAUGUAGAUGUUAAUUGUUAUAUUUGAAAUUUCUGGGAAUUUGCGUAUAUUCGUAGUGUGAUAUCUUUAAGAAUUCUUGCCUAUUAUAACUUUGCUAUCAUAACUCAUUUUGUGGUACUUGUAAUUCAAUCAUAAUAGGAUUAUAAGUUAGUUUUUUUCCAUUGAUGAUGGUGAUGAUGACGAUGAUGGUGACUGUGAUGGUGUUUUGCCGCAUGUAGCAGCUUACAUAAACAUUGAAUGCGGUGACAAAUUUAUUGAAGAAAAUAUAAAGAGGAUGCGUGUGUGUUAUAUAAUCAAGAUGCUAAUAAUACUGGUCGGUGGCUUAUCCAUUUUGGGAUCUAUUGUAGCAGGAAUGCUGCAGGUUUAUUUUAAGUGAGAUCACAGAUCAGGUUUUGUUAAGAUACCUCAGUGCAGGGUUGCAAUUCCUGCAGUGGAAUGGAGAGGUCAUUCUGGUGUGUCUGUGGCCUUGGAAUUUUAGAAUGUGAUGGGUUUCGGUUACCAGUUUAAUUUUUGAGAAUUUACCGUUUAUUAGCAGUAGAAUUCUACAAACGAAUGAUAUAAUAUUGUCAUUUCUACUGUGUGCAACCUGUUUUGAAACUAGCAUUAAUUCUUCUGUUUUGAAAGUAUGCUUGUUACUAGUAUCUUUUUUAAGACUGGGAUUUGUAACCUUUCACAUAUUUUCACCCAAUGGUGACAUAUAAAUUGUGAUUUAGUAGCCCUCUAGAUCGCUAGAUAACUUAGCAGAAUAAUCUGCAGGGUUUAGCUGUGCAAUUGCGUAAAUUUGUAGUCUUUAAAGUUUUUCCCCUUGGUUUUUAUUUUUCAUUUUUUUUGCUUAGCAUAUUGUUUCCAACUGUAAGCAACAUGUAUUAGUUGCUGUUGGUAUUUAUGAAUACGAAUGUGCAUAUUUAUGAUUUGGGCGUGGCCUGGCUGGUGUAAAUGCUAUUAAUUGCUACAUUAAAGUUUGAAUAUGGAUGUGCAUAUUCAUGAUAGGUGUGGCUUGAAUAGUAUAUAUUAUAAAUGCUACAUUAUGGUUUGACUGAAUAUGCAUUAUGUGGGUGUGGCUUGAUUGGUAUAUUAUGCUACAUUAAAAUUUAAAUAUUAAUGCAUAUUCAUGAUGUGGGUGUGGCUUAAUUCAUAUAUACAGUAUAUGCUAUAAUUGCUACAGUUAAGUUGUUUUCCUCAUUCUCCUUUCCAUUCUGUAAACAUCCUUUUAAUUUCAUGCUUUUGGUAAUAUCAAAAGAUAUGUUACGAAUAUUCAUGUUUAAUAUUAUAUAGAAAAAAAGAAGAAAAUGGACAGAUGAAGUUGUUUUAUACAUCUAAUCUUGUAUUAAACCAAAACAUGUUUACAAGCUUCGAGUGAAAAGAAUGUGGUUAUUAAAACUGGAGAGUGUGUUAUAUUGUCAAAAUGCCACGAGAAUUGACUAUGAAAAAGUGAAUAUGAGAGGAUGAAGUAGAGAUUGAAAAAAAAAUAAAGAGGAAAAUGACCAAAGGAGAUAUAGAAAAUGUAAGAAAUUGAGGUACAGAAAUGCAGCAGUAUUUGGUUUAAGCUGUGUUCUAGUGUACAUACCUUCAAACAACCAGGAAGAAAAGUGAGAAAUAUUGAGAUGCAUACGAUCUUGGUUGCUAGCUGCAAGUAUCAAUAAGAAUAAGAUCAUAGCAAAAUGUUUUUGUAAGACAGAAAGGUAAUAGAAACCUCAGUGAAGGGAUUUGAGUGUGUUUUCUUGUCAGGCCACUCCUAAAAAAGUCUUGAAAGAGAAAGAGUUUUAAAAAAAACUGUGCCUGUCUUUUUCGCUGUAUAAUUUUUGGAAACAAGACAAGGAUAUGUAUGAUAUCAAGAUGAAUAUAAGUGCAUGCUUAAUGAACUAAUUAACGUAGAUUGUUAACAAGUUGACAUUUUUGAAUCUUGAGUGUGGACCAAUGAUGUAAAUAUUUGUUGGAAUAUUAGGACAGUGGUUUCGUAUAGAAGCGGAUAAGAAUAGGGGCCGGUUUUUCCACCCAUAUUUUGUAAUUUUUUUUAUCAAAUAAGGGCAGUAUCUCUCAGGGGUUUGUUGAAGUUUUCAUUCUUUUUCCAUCUUAUUUCCUAUACUGCUGAAAAAAAACUUUUAAAGUUGAAAGUGUGUACAUAAUGUGCUUAUGAAACACACUGGUAUGUUAGUGGUUAAAGAAGUGGCUCAAUAGUGGCCAUAGCAGCUAUACCAACAUCCUCAGCUUAAUAUUUUAAGUAGAUGGCUGGAAUAGCUAAUGUAUUAUGUGUGGAGAAUGAAUAAAAUUGACUGCUAAUCUAAA